GUGAGGAAUCUUCCACAAUGGGCGAAAGCCUGAUGGAGCAACGCCGCGUGCAGGAUGAAGGCCUUCGGGUCGUAAACUGCUUUUAUAAGUGAAGAAUAUGACGGUAACUUAUGAAUAAGCACCGGCUAACUACGUGCCAGCAGCCGCGGUCAUACGUAGGGUGCAAGCAUUAUCCGGAGUGACUGGGCGUAAAGAGUUGCGUAGGUGGACAAGUUAGCGAAUAGUGAAAUCUGGUGGCUCAACCACACAGACUAUUAUUCGAACUGCUUGUCUCGAGAGUAGCAGAGGUAACUGGAAUUUCUAGUGUAGGAGUGAAAUCCGUAGAUAUUAGAAGGAACACCAAUGGCGUAGGCAGGUUACUGGGCUAUUUCUGACACUAAGGCACGAAAGCGUGGGGAGCGAACCGGAUUAGAUACCCUAGUAGUCC
rnacentral:rRNA from 1 species